UACAGAGGGUGCGAGCGUUGUCCGGAAUCACUGGGCGUAAAGGGCGCGUAGGUGGCGGGAUAAGCGUGUGGUGAAAGCCCGGGGCUCAACCCCGUGUCUGCCAUGCGGACUGUCUUGCUCGAGCGUAGUAGAGGCAGGUGGAAUUCCGGGUGUAGCGGUGGAAUGCGUAGAGAUCCGGAAGAACACCAGUGGCGAAGGCGACAUACUGGUCCGUUACUGACGCUGAGGCUCGAAAGCGUGGGGAGCAAACAGG
rnacentral:rRNA from 1 species